rnacentral:misc_RNA from 1 species
UCCUCCCUCAAACCUCGCGUUUGGUGUUGGGCCCCACGGGGAGCUUCUCGGGCUCCCCUGGCCCCAAAGACAAUGACGGCGUCCGUUGGGACCCCCGGUGCAACGAGCUUCUUCGGAGCACGCGCUGUGGGCUGUCCUCUUCGGGCUGGUCUCAACCACUUUUAUUUUACCA